UACGUAGGUGGCAAGCGUUAUCCGGAUUUACUGGGUGUAAAGGGCGUGUAGGCGGGAUGGUAAGUCAGAUGUGAAAACUAUGGGCUCAACCCAUAGCCUGCAUUUGAAACUAUCGUUCUUGAGUGUUGGAGAGGCAGGCGGAAUUCCGUGUGUAGCGGUGGAAUGCGUAGAUAUAUGGAAGAGCACCAGUAGCGAAGGCGGCUGUCUGGUCUGCAACUGACGCUGAGGCUCGAAAGCAUGGGUAGCGAACAGG
rnacentral:rRNA from 1 species